rnacentral:rRNA from 1 species
UACGUAGGGGGCCAGCGUUGUCCGGAAUCAUUGGGCGUAAAGCGCGCGUAGGCGGCCAGAUAAGUCCGGUGUGAAAGUCAAAGGCUCAACCUUUGAAUGCCGCUGGAAACUGCCUGGCUUGAGUCCGGAAGGGGCGAGUGGAAUUCCUGGUGUAGCGGUGAAAUGCGCAGAUAUCAGGAGGAACACCAAUGGCGAAGGCAGCUCGCUGGAACGGUACUGACGCUGAGGCGCGAAAGCAUGGGUAGCGAACAGG